CAGUCGCCACGGUAAAACAGAGGGUGCGAGCGUUAAUCUGAUUUACUGGGCGUAAAGCGUGCGUAGGCGGCUAAUUGAGUCGGAUGUGAAAUCCCCGAGCUUAACUUGGGAAUUGCAUUCGAUACUGGUUAGCUAGAGUUUGGGAGAGGAUGGUAGAAUUCCAGGUGUAGCGGUGAAAUGCGUAGAGAUCUGGAGGAAUACCGAUGGCGAAGGCAGCCAUCUGGCCUAAUACUGACGCUGAGGUACGAAAGCAUGGGGAGCAAACAGGAUUAGAUACCCGUGUAGUCCCUGUCUCUUAUAC
rnacentral:rRNA from 1 species